UCCAUUGCUUAGUUGGUAGAGCAUAAGGCUCUUAACCUUGUGGUCGCGGGUUCAAGCCUUACGAUGGAG
rnacentral:tRNA from 1 species